AGCUCUAGUGGUAGUCUGUUUUAUUGGGCCUAAAGCGUUCGUAACCGGUUUAAUAAGUCUCUGGUGAAAUCCUAUAGCUUAACUGUGGGAAUUGCUGGAGAUACUAUUAGACUUGAGAUCGGGAGAGGUCAGAGGUACUCCUGGGGUAGGGGUGAAAUCCUGUAAUCCUAGGAGGACCACCUGUGGCGAAGGCGUCUGACUAGAACGAAUCUGACGGUGAGGAACGAAAGCUAGGGGCGCGAACCGGAUUAGAUACCCGGGUAGUCCUAGCCGUAAACUAUGCGGACUUGGUGUGAGGGUGGCUUUGAGCCGUCCUGGUGCCGAAGGGAAGCUGUUAAGUCCGCCGCCUGGGAAGUACGGUCGCAAGACUGAACUUAAAGGAAUUGGCGGGGGAGCACCACAACGCGUGGAGCCUGCGGUUUAAUUGGAUUCAACGCCGGAGAUCUCACCAGCGGCGACAGCAGUAUGAUGACCAGGUUGAUGACUUUGUUUGACAAGCUGAGAGGUGGUGCAUGG
rnacentral:rRNA from 1 species